GGUCCUGCCACCCGGCACGCGGCCACCCCGGGACUCGGGGCCACCCCCGGGAUUUGGUGUCACCCCAGGGAUUCGGGGUCACCCCGGGACUCGGGGCCACCCCAGGGAUUCGGGGUCACCCCAGGGAUUUGGUGUCACCCCCGGGACUCGGUGUCACACCCGGGAUUCGGUGUCACCCCCGGGACUCGGGGCCACCCCCGGGAUUCGGUGUCACCCCCGGGAUUCGGUGUCACCCCCGGGACUCGGGGCCACCCCCGGGAUUCGGUGUCAUCCCCGGGAUUCGGGGUCACCCCCGGGAUUUGGUGUCACCCCCGGGACUUGGGGCCACCCCCGGGAUUCAGUGUCACCCCCGGGACUCGGGGCCACCCCGGGACUCGGGGCCACCCCAGGGAUUUGGUGUCACCCCCGGGAUUUGGUGUCACCCCCGGGAUUCGGUGUCACCCCCGGGACUCGGGGUCACCCCCGGGAUUUGGUGUCACCCCCAGAGACUCUCUGAAUGACCCCAGGGACUCUGUGUCACCCCCAGGGACUCGGUGUGACCCCCGGGGACUUGGGGUCACCCAGCCAGGGAUUCUGUGUCACCCCCAGGGAUUCUGUCACCCCCAGGGAUUCUGUCACCCCCAGGGAUCCUGUGUCACCCUUAGGGACUCUGUGUCACCCCAGGGACUCGGUGUCACCCCAGAGACUCUCUGGGUCACCCACAGGGACUCAGUGUCACCCCAGAGACUUGGUGUCACCCAUGGGGACUGUGUCACCCCAGGGACUCUCUGUGUGACCCCAGGGACUCAGUGUCACCCCAGAGACUCUCUGUCACCCCAGGGACUCUGUGUCACCCCCAGGAGCUCGGUGUCACCCCAGAGACUCUCUGUGUCACCCCAGGGACUCAGUGUCACCCCAGAGACUCUCUGUGUGACCCCAGGGACUCUGUGUCACCCCAGGGACUCCGUGUGUGACCCCAGAGGCUCUGUCCCCCCCCACGCCCCCUCCCCACCCCCCGGGGGUGCGGGGGUCCCCUCGGGGGGUGACACAGCCCAGCGGGGGGGGUGA
rnacentral:lncRNA from 1 species